AGUAAUCGAUUAAGGACCUCCGGUUAGUACGAAAGGACCGCUGGGGAUGAUUCCAUGGUGUACCUAUUGUUACGUCUUUAGAUAUAGCACCGUAGGGUAGCCACAAUCAUGACAGAUAAGCGCUGAAAGCAUCUUAAGCACGAAGCACACCUUAUUAGAUUACAAGAAAUAGGAAGAAGACUACUUCUUUGUAUUUUACUUAUUAUUUUUAUAGUUUAUAAACUAUCUAUAUAAUUCUAUGUAAAUACAUAUAGGGUGCAAAUGUAAGUAUAGUAAUAUAUUCAGUUUAGCACUACUAAUUUAUUGA
rnacentral:ncRNA from 1 species